UGCAGGCGGGGGGCGGAGGACCGUCCCGAGGCGAGCGGGCAGGAUAAAACCAAGAAGGAAACAGCUUUCCAAUUCCAGGAGAAGAUUUCAAGUUUUGAAAUAUUUUCCCAUCCUGAAUCAGGACAAACUUGCCUUUCCAAAUAAAUACUUGUUUUGGUCCCCCAAAAUUGAACUGCAAUCAUUUAGAAAAUGAUGAAAUGAUCUACAUGCCAACCUCAGCAAGGUAAUUUUGCUCACAACAAAAUGUGCACGUCCUCCAUUCUGCAAUGUGGCCUGCCCCCUUAGUCAGUGGCCGGUGGAACAGUUUCUAGUAGAACAGCCUCAGAUGACAGUAAAUCCCUGACCACUUCUGCAUUGGGGUGGAGGGAGAUAGCAAUUCAUCCCCCAUCCUGUGGGAUAAAUGAGGACAUCUGGGGAGUCUCAACUCCUAUUUCCCCCCUUCCCUUUGUGAACGAAUAAUACAUAUAGCAGAGUUGGCCUGCUAUUAUUAACAACGACCUCCCUGGACUAUUAAGGAGAAUUGUUGGCCAAGUCCAGGAGGUGACAGCUUUCCCAGAAGACCAGCAACUGAAAUAUGAGGCCUUGAAGCAGAAUGGCAGCAACAGGACAUCUGUGAUGGCAGACACUUGUAUGCAUUUUACAGAGGGAACCAGAGUUUUUGCUGUUUCCAUCAGGGUGCCCACAAUGCUGUCAGUGGAUUUAUUUGUCAUUCCGUCCCCUUCUUGUCUGAAGCUGUGUCUGUCUUUCCAGUUGCAGGAUCCUGAAGAAUUUGAAAUAAUAUUUGGGCAAAGUAACUCUGAUGCAUUCCCUUUCCCGCUCUGUAUGCUUCUUUGUAGAGCAAUGUGCGGUACAAUGUUGCCUUCAAGUGAAAGCAGAGUGGUACUGCAGGCUGGGGAGAUCCUGAGACUACAAGCGUCAGGAAUGAAAGAAAUUGAAUUGGGAACUAAGACCAGAAAAGGCAGAGCUCUGGACCCGAGAGGGAGUCCAUCAACCACAGAGAAAUAGAGAUCCAAGAAAAGCACUGGCUUUUUUAUUAGUUUUAAUAAUCCCCACCACAGUCCAAAAUCUUUUGCAGGACAGUCUGAGAUUAGAAACACUUGGGACUCCUCUUUAGUAACCGGCUGGGUGGCUUAUGGCUGGCUCUGGGAAGGGUUGGUGUGGUCAGGAUGAGUCCAAGAUGAAUUUACUGUCCCACUGGCUCCCCCCCACCUCAGAGCCCCAGCAGCCAGAGUGUGAUGUAGUGACUCUUCCCAGCUCUUCUCUAAUCUUGCACAUUUUCACUGAAGAUGUUUUUGUUUGUAUUAACGUCAGCUGUUUACAGAAGAAAGGAGAAAACGUUUCCCGGAAUUCAGAGAAAAAUGAAUUUUGGAAGACUGUCACCCUGUUAAUCAGCUGGAGUCACUCUGAUUUUCUUUAAUGCCUGGGUGUUGAAACUCUGAGCGGUAGGUGAGAGCCUAGUAUUUUUUUUGGAUGGAUUAUAUUUCUCUUAAAAAAAAAAAAAAGACCUACUUCAGAAUUACCGUAAUGCUGCAAAUUCAUGGAGGUUGUCCUUUUGAGAAGUAGCUCUGUUUUGUGUAAGGGGCAGGUAGGCAUUGAAAUCCAGACCUCUGGCCCUUUUUUUGUGAUUUUGAAGUCCUAGUUUUCUCUCCUUUGUUGCUGUGUGAAAAAUGCAGACAAGCAAAAGGGGGAAGCUGAUUUGUUCUAGAAGGAGAAAGAGUGGAACUGGCUAUAUGCAAGUACAAGAAUGAAUACAUUAAAAAAGGGGUAACACUUUUGUUCCCUGGCCUCUUUCAGUUCUAGUAACCUUUGGGGUUACUUGUAGCAAUAAGUUUGAGAGAAGUUAUUUUUAAGGCACAAUAUUAUCAAUUUGAAAAAAAAAUCUUUUUAUUAUAAUUUAUUAUAAUUACAGGGAGGAUUUGGCCAUGUCAUUUGAUUCUCACUUGCUCUAGAAUGGCAAGGGAAGGAUGCCUUGUCCUAGCAGUUGUGGCAGAACAGGGGCCAUGUCUCACAGCCCCAGCUUUUUGGUUUCCUGUUGAUGUCUCCCUCAGUUCAGGUUCAGAUC